rnacentral:rRNA from 1 species
AUUGAACGCUGGCGGCAUGCUUUACACCUGCAAGUCGAACGGCAGCGCGGGCUUCGGCCUGGCGGCGAGUGGCGAACGGGUGAGUAAUACAUCGGAACGUGCCCAGUAGUGGGGGAUAGCUCAGCGAAAGCCGGAUUAAUACCGCAUACGACCUGAGGGUGAAAGCGGGUGUUCUUCGGACCUCGCGCUAUUGGAGCGGCCGCUGGCAGAUUUGCUAGUUGGUGGGGUACAGGCCUACCAAGGUGACGAUCUGUCGCUGGUCCGAGAGGACGACCAGCCACACUGGAACUGAGACACGGCCCAGACUCCUACGGGAGGCAGCAGUGGGAAAUUUUGGACAAGGGGCGAAAGCCUGAUCCAGCAAGGCCGCGUGUGUGAUGAAGGCCUUCGGGUUGUAAAGCACUUUUGGCGGGAACGAAAAGGACUGUGCCAAUACCACGGUUCGAUGACGGUACCCGCAGAAUAAGCACCGGCUAACUACGU